CAGAUCCCUGUGAAGAGUGGUGGUCCCCAUGGGGCAGGGGUCCUCGGUGAGUGGCUGACCUCCUCCCCGCCCCCACCCUGGGAGGCUCCUGCGGGACCUGUUGGCAGCCCCCACCCCUCCAGAUGCCCAGCUGGUGGGGAGGGCAGGUGAUAAGGGCUGGGUGGGGCAGGGACCUGCUGGAGCCACUUGCUCCCUCCUCCCAGGGCUGCACCUGGAGGGCCCCUUCAUCAGCCGGGAGAAGCGGGGCGCGCACCCCGAGGCCCACCUCCGCUCCUUCGAGGCCGAUGCCUUCCAGGACUUGCUGGCCACCUACGGGCCCCUGGACAAUGUCCGCAUCGUGACGCUGGCCCCGGAGUUGGGCCGUAGCCACGAAGUGAUCCGGGCGCUGACGGCCCGUGGCAUCUGCGUGUCCCUAGGUGAGGGGCCGGCUCGGGGUGGGCCUGCUUGGGGGACGUGGGCCAGGUGCAAAGUCUGAAUCCAGGUCCCGCAGGGCACUCAGUGGCUGACCUGCGGGCGGCAGAGGAUGCUGUGUGGAGCGGAGCCACCUUCAUCACCCACCUCUUCAACGCCAUGCUGCCUUUCCACCACCGCGACCCAGGCAUCGUGGGGCUCCUGACCAGCGACCGGCUGCCCGCAGGCCGCUGCAUCUUCUAUGGGAUGAUUGCGGAUGGCACGCACACCAACCCCGCCGCCCUGCGGAUCGCCCACCGUGCCCAUCCCCAGGGUAAGCUGCGGCAGGUGGGCAGGACAGGUAGGAUGACUGGGCUAGCAGGUUCUGAGUCUCUUCUCCCCCAGGGCUGGUGCUGGUCACCGAUGCCAUCCCUGCCUUGGGCCUGGGC
rnacentral:sRNA from 1 species